GACGAACGCUGGCGGCGCGCCUAACACAUGCAAGUCGAACGGAGUCACGAGGAGCUUGCUUUUCUUGACUUAGUGGCGAACGGGUGAGUAACGCGUGAGUAACCUGCCCUGGAGUGGGGGACAACAGUUGGAAACGACUGCUAAUACCGCAUAAGCCCACGGAUCUGCAUGGAUCUGCGGGAAAAGGAUUUAUUCGCUCUAGGAUGGACUCGCGUCCAAUUAGCUAGUUGGUGAGGUAACGGCCCACCAAGGCGACGAUUGGUAGCCGGACUGAGAGGUUGAACGGCCACAUUGGGACUGAGACACGGCCCAGACUCCUACGGGAGGCAGCAGUGGGGGAUAUUGCACAAUGGGGGAAACCCUGAUGCAGCGACGCCGCGUGGAGGAAGAAGGUUGUCGGAUUGUAAACUCCUGUCGUUAGGGACGAUAAUGACGGUACCUAACAAGAAAGCACCAGCUAACUACGUG
rnacentral:rRNA from 1 species